UACAGAGGGUGCAAGCGUUAAUCGGAAUUACUGGGCGUAAAGCGCGCGUAGGCGGUUUGUUAAGUUGGAUGUGAAAUCCCCGGGCUCAACCUGGGAACUGCAUCCAAAACUGGCAAGCUAGAGUACGGUAGAGGGUGGUGGAAUUUCCUGUGUAGCGGUGAAAUGCGUAGAUAUAGGAAGGAACAUCAGUGGCGAAGGCGACCACCUGGACUGAUACUGACACUGAGGUGCGAAAGCGUGGGGAGCAAACAGG
rnacentral:rRNA from 1 species